rnacentral:rRNA from 1 species
CAGUAGCCGCGGGAAUACGUAGGGUGCAAGCGUUAAUCGGAAUUACUGGGCGUAAAGCGUGCGCAGGCGGUUAUAUAAGACAGAUGUGAAAUCCCCGGGCUCAACCUGGGAACUGCAUUUGUGACUGUAUAGCUAGAGUACGGCAGAGGGGGAUGGAAUUCCGCGUGUAGCAGUGAAAUGCGUAGAUAUGCGGAGGAACACCGAUGGCGAAGGCAAUCCCCUGGGCCUGUACUGACGCUUAUGCACGAAAGCGUGGGGAGCAAACAGGAUUAGAUACCCCCGUAGUCCCUGUCUCUUAUAC